rnacentral:rRNA from 1 species
AGGGGGCAAGCGUUAUCCGGAUUUACUGGGUGUAAAGGGAGCGUAGACGGCCAGACAAGUCAGAAGUGAAAACCCAUGGCUCAACCAUGGGACUGCUUUUGAAACUGCCAGGCUAGAGUGCAGGAGAGGUAAGCGGAAUUCCUAGUGUAGCGGUGAAAUGCGUAGAUAUUAGGAGGAACACCAGUGGCGAAGGCGGCUUACUGGACUGUAACUGACGUUGAGGCGCGAAAGCGUGGGGAGCA